rnacentral:rRNA from 1 species
CAGCAGCAGCCGCGGUAAUACAGAGGGUGCGAGCGUUAAUCGGAUUUACUGGGCGUAAAGCGUGCGUAGGCGGCUUCUUAAGUCGGAUGUGAAAUCCCUGAGCUUAACUUAGGAAUUGCAUUCGAUACUGGGAAGCUAGAGUAUGGGAGAGGAUGGUAGAAUUCCAGGUGUAGCGGUGAAAUGCGUAGAGAUCUGGAGGAAUACCGAUGGCGAAGGCAGCCAUCUGGCCUAAUACUGACGCUGAGGUACGAAAGCAUGGGGAGCAAACAGGAUUAGAGACCCCGGUAGUCCCUGUCUCUUAUAC